GCCAUCGUGCUCACCGGCACGGGAAAGAAGGGAGAGAAGAGAGGGAGAGGAGGGAGACCUUACCACAACCUCCGGUGACCCCCACCGGCGUGCAAUCGCGGCGAACACGGGUCGAGGAGUCACGGCUUCAAACGGAAAAAUCGGAGAAAAUCUUCGGCAAUCGACGGCGACUGAAGGGUCUACCCAUAGAGGAGAGAGGGGGGUUUCUUAUAGGGUUCGUCCUAGGGUCUUUUAAUGGCCCUAGGACUCCGAUUCUUGAUCGGAGAAGAGGAAGACUCCGAU
rnacentral:lncRNA from 1 species